rnacentral:lncRNA from 1 species
AGCACAUCGGCACUACAGACCAGUGAACUUCGAGACAAAGCAAUAGAAACUAUCCAAAAUAUGGUACAAAAAAGAAAGACUGAACAAAACAACAGCGUUUAGUGACCCGUGAGACAAAAUCAGCUGUUUGGAGUUCCCGUGGUGGCUCGGCAGAAACAAAUCUGACUAGGAUCCAUGAGGAUGCAGGUUCAUCCCUGGCCUUGCUCAGUGGGCUGAGGAUCCGGUGUUGCUGUGGGCUGUGGUGUAGGUCACAGAUGCAGCUCAGAUCUGGCGUGGCUGAAGCUUGGCAUAGGCCAGUGGCUGUAGCUCUGAUUCCACUCCUAGCCUGAGAACUACCAUAUGCUACAGGUAUGGCCCUCAAAAGACCAAAAAAAAAAAAAAAAAAAAUCAGCUGUUUUAAGAUAUGUUGGCUGAAAAAUGUCCACAUUUGCUGAAGUCUACAAACCACAAGCUCACAAACCCCAAGUAGAGUAAACAGAGAAAAUCACACUGAGGUCCCACAUAAUCCAGUUGCUGAAACAACCAGUGGUAAGGAGAAAAAAAAUCUUAAAAAGCAGGGAGAAGAAGAGACAGCACAUCACAGGGAAGUAAAGACGAAUGUCAGCAGACUGCCGGUCAGAACCAGCGCCGGCCAGGAGGCCGCAGCGACGUUUUUAAGUAACUGCCCCGAAAGGAACAAAUUGUUAGUUUAGAAUUCUGUACCCAGUGCAACUAUCUCUCAAAAGGGAAAGCGAAAUCAAAAUUUCUAGACUGAGAAAAGCUGACAGAAUUUAUCGCCAGCAUAACUUACAUGAUAAGACAUUUUAAAGGAAGUUCAAAUAGAAGAAAAAUUAUAUCAGAUGGAAAUUUUUACACAAAGGAAUGAAAAGAUCCAGAAAUGAUCAAUAGAUUGGUAAAUAUUCACACUUCCAAUUUUUUUUUAAAAUUGACUAUUUAAGGCAAAAAUAACAAUGUAUUUUGGAACUUAAAAUACUUUUAGAGAUGAAUAAAUGGCAACAGUAGCACAAAGGUUGGAAGGGGAGAAAUGAAAGCACAGUAUUACUGUAUCUCAAGUGGUGGUAACAUUACUUGAAGGUAAAAUGUGAUAAGUUAAAGAUGUGUGUUAUAUCCAGAAACAUCUCUCAUCAGUGG